rnacentral:rRNA from 1 species
UACGUAGGGACCAAGCGUUGUUCGGAUUUACUGGGCGUAAAGGGCGCGUAGGCGGCUUGACAAGUCACUUGUGAAAUCUCCGGGCUUAACUCGGAACGGCCAAGUGAAACUGUCAUGCUAGAGUGCAGAAGGGGCAAUCGGAAUUCUUGGUGUAGCGGUGAAAUGCGUAGAUAUCAAGAGGAACACCAGAGGCGAAGGCGGCUACCUGGACAAUUGCUGACGCUCAGGCACGAAAGCGUGGGGAGCAAAAGGG